rnacentral:rRNA from 1 species
CCUACGGGGUGCAGCAGUGGGGAAUAUUGGACAAUGGGCGAAAGCCUGAUCCAGCCAUGCCGCGUGUGUGAAGAAGGCCUUCGGGUUGUAAAGCACUUUCAGUGGGGAAGAAAGCCUUGGGGCUAAUACCCUCGAGGAAGGACAUCACCCACAGAAGAAGCACCGGCUAACUCCGUGCCAGCAGCCGCGGUAAUACGGAGGGUGCGGGCGUUAAUCGGAAUUACUGGGCGUAAAGCGCGCGUAGGCGGUCUGAUAAGCCGGUUGUGAAAGCCCCGGGCUCAACCUGGGAACGGCAUCCGGAACUGUCAGGCUAGAGUGCAGGAGAGGAAGGUAGAAUUCCCGGUGUAGCGGUGAAAUGCGUAGAGAUCGGGAGGAAUACCAGUGGCGAAGGCGGCCUUCUGGACUGACACUGACGCUGAGGGGCGAAAGCGUGGGUAGCAAACAGGAUUAGAUACCCUGGUAGUC